GUACACGCUGUGACUAGCAUAUCAAUAAGCGGAGGAAAAGAAACUAACAAGGAUUCCCUUAGUAACGGCGAGUGAAGCGGGAAGAGCUCAAAUUUGAAAUCUUCAAGGUUUUACCUUGACGAAUUGUAGUUUAAAGAAGUGUUUUCUGCUGAAGUUUUGGUAAAAGUUCUUUGGAAUAGGACAUCAUAGAGGGUGAGAAUCCCGUAUUUGACCAUUAUUUUCAGCUUUGUGAUACACUUUCAAAGAGUCGGAUUGUUUGGGAAUGCAGUCCAAAAUGGGUGGUAAAUUUCAUCUAAAGCUAAAUAUUGGCGAGAGACCGAUAGCGAACAAGUACCGUGAGGGAAAGAUGAAAAGAACUUUGAAAAGAGAGUUAAACAGUACGUGAAAUUGUCAAAAGGGAAGCGUUUGACACCAGUGUUGUUUUCUCGAAAAUCAAUUAAAAAUGGCUCGAUUUUGUAUUGUUUGAGACCUUAAAAGCUCACUGUACAUUUCUUCGUGUCUUUUUUAAUGCACUUUUCGUUUAACAAGUCAACAUCAGUUUCUUUUGUUGUAAAAGGGUCAUUGGAAGGUGGCUUUCUUUUCGGAGAAAGUGUUUAUAGCCUUUGGCCUCUGCAAUCGGAGAGACUGAGGUCUGCAGCGUAGACUCUUCGGGGUUAGAUACAUUUGUGCUAAGCUAUAGCUUUUUAUAGACAACUUGUUGACUAUAAUUAGUCUUGUAGCUUACUCGCUUAUGCUAUUUUACCUACGCUUAGGAUGUUGAUCUACAGAGCGAGAGU
rnacentral:rRNA from 1 species